CAAGAGCCCUUUGAGCUCUCCUGCAGAGCAGAGUGCAGUUUUCUUCUUGAGCAGAGCUGCCUCUCGAGGUUAUGCCUGCCAGCAGAGAUCCCUCAACACUGGGAGAUUCCUUUCUGCAAGAGACCCUCGACAUACACCACUGACCAAGUCUGCGACUAGGACUGGAUCCAGUUGCAGGCUCUUCUAAGCAAGAACUUGGAAAGCAAGAGGGUCCUCUCCGAAUUUUGUGAUAAACAGGAGGGGCUCCCCAGCACAUCUGACUUACUCUGUCUUCAAUCCUGGAAAUAACCCAGUGUGCCUUGCCAUCAACAGAGCUUUGUUAAGGUGCAUAAACUUUGUUAAAUUACUACUACAUAAACUUUGUUAAAUCAC